rnacentral:rRNA from 1 species
GGAAACGGUAGCUAAUACCGCAUAACGUCGCAAGACCAAAGAGGGGGACCUUCGGGCCUCUUGCCAUCGGAUGUGCCCAGAUGGGAUUAGCUUGUUGGUGGGGUAACGGCUCACCAAGGCGACGAUCCCUAGCUGGUCUGAGAGGAUGACCAGCCACACUGGAACUGAGACACGGUCCAGACUCCUACGGGAGGCAGCAGUGGGGAAUAUUGCACAAUGGGCGCAAGCCUGAUGCAGCCAUGCCGCGUGUAUGAAGAAGGCCUUCGGGUUGUAAAGUACUUUCAGCGGGGAGGAAGGGAGUAAAGUUAAUACCUUUACUCAUUGACGUUACCCGCAGAAGAAGCACCGGCUAACUCCGUGCCAGCAGCCGCGGUAAUACGGAGGGUGCAAGCGUUAAUCGGAAUUACUGGGCGUAAAGCGCACGCAGGCGGUUUGUUAAGUCAGAUGUGAAAUCCCCGGGCUCAACCUGGGAACUGCAUCUGAUACUGGCAAGCUUGAGUCUCGUAGAGGGGGGUAGAAUUCCAGGUGUAGCGGUGAAAUGCGUAGAGAUCUGGAGGAAUACCGGUGGCGAAGGCGGCCCCCUGGACGAAGACUGACGCUCAGGUGCGAAAGCGUGGGGAGCAAACAGGAUUAGAUACCCCGGUAGUCCACGCCGUAAACGAU